UGCUUGUGUAGGAUAGGUGGGAGGCUAUGAAACAUAGACGCUAGUUUAUGUGGAGCCAUCCUUGAAAUACCACCCUGGUAAUAUUGAGGUUCUAACUCUGUCCCGUGAUCCGGGACGAGGACCAUGUCUGGUGGGUAGUUUGACUGGGGCGGUCUCCUCCUAAAGAGUAACGGAGGAGUACGAAGGUGCGCUCAGACCGGUCGGAAAUCGGUCGUUGAGUGCAAUGGCAGAAGCCAGCCUGACUGCAAGACUGACAAGUCGAGCAGAGACGAAAGUCGGCCAUAGUGAUCCGGUGGUCCCGAGUGGAAGGGCCAUCGCUCAACGGAU
rnacentral:rRNA from 1 species